rnacentral:lncRNA from 1 species
ACCCGCCAGCCCCGCGCUCUACCAGGCAGAGCGCGUGUGGCCGCCGAGCACAUGGACCCACUGGUCAAGCGGGCUCGGCAAGGCCAGGAUGAAGAGAAGCUACGAACUUAGCAUUCCCAGAGCCCCCCGAGUGGAUAUCCGCGUGGAAAGGAUGUUGGCAGCCCCGGUGACCUCGGAGUCACGGCUGGAUCCACCCUCUUGUCUGAUUUUCUUAACUCUACUACGGUAAGAAGAUGCCCUCCAUCAGCAGGCCGUGUCUGCUGGGACCUCUCUGGAGACUUCCUGAACCCUGUGGAUUUACAGUAAGAUGCAGUUUCCUGGGGAGUAAUUCUGGUGGAUACAAAUUCCGGAGUAUUACACCUGGCUUGCCUGGAGAUGUUACAAGUAGCUGGAUGGAUUCUUCAGCCUGGAUGCCCACUGAAAACAAGGACCGAAACUAAGAGGAUUGUAUCUCUACCCUUGACUCAAUGAGAAUGUUUGUUGUCAUCUCUCGGGCUACCUGGAGCUCCCUCUAAAAUGGGCUGGGACACUGCCUGAUUGAGGUGGCCAUUGAGAAUUCAAGUGUACCUCUUGGUCCCUGAUGCAGAAAUGAAGUCCCCAGCAUGCUCAAGAAGAGCUUCCUUGGAGGAUGAGAGGCAUGGGAAUCUAAGUAUACCCUUUAAGCGUUCCAGAAGGAUUUUGAGAUCCUUUCCUAAAUCAAAGGUGGAAUAUUUGGGGAUUUGGAAAAUUGAGCAUUUUUUUCCCCACUUGCUUGACUGUAAUGCUAACAUGCUCUCUCUGCUCCAACCUGGAGAAGCCAGUCUCUCAGAAGAACCAGUUGUGUUACUUUGCUGUGAGAUGCCUGCCCUAAGAGAGGAGCAGAAGGUCGGAACGGGUCCUCUAAUGUGAUAAUUAGAUGUGAAGCGUUGACUUAAGAGAUGCCAAGUAACUCAGCAGAUGUCACACAGACGAUAAAUAGCAAAGAUGGAAGUCUUCAUGCCGGAGGCAAUCCUAUAAGACAGCUGAGUUCUGCAGAGCUGGUAGGAGACAGACUUGCUCAGGUGAUAGAUCCAGCCAUGAUACUGACCCUAAGAGAAUGAGACGCUCUGCAGAAGACAGAAGAUUCCUGAAACUGGGAAAGGUGCCUAGAAAUCCUGAUAAGAGUGAAGAAGGGUACCUGGAGGCACAGCAGCCAUGUUGAACCUAUGAGGUGAUGAAAAACCAUGCAACUAGAAACCAGAAUGGAAGAAAAGAAGAAGCUGGAUCCUUGACUGAAUUGUCGAUGGGGGAUAGUCCAUCAUCCCAGGGCUAAGACCACCUCCAGAUUUCUUGUUUGGUGAAACAAGUCCUGAUUGUUUACAUUCCCUCGUGUUGAGCUGUCUCUUGCUUGUAGCUGAAAGCAUUUCUAAUAGAUAUUCAGAUUAUCAGCCUUAGCUCCAAGCUAGAAUACUCUAUGGGACCUUAGCUUCUCCAUGAAUUCCUUUGCUCAUCUGUGUAAUGCUCAAUAAAUGUAAAUUGAACCCUGAAUGAGGGACAAUGACACUA